rnacentral:rRNA from 1 species
UACGUAGGGGGCUAGCGUUGUUCGGAAUUACUGGGCGUAAAGCGCACGUAGGCGGCUUUGUAAGUUAGAGGUGAAAGCCCGGGGCUCAACUCCGGAAUUGCCUUUAAGACUGCAUCGCUAGAAUUGUGGAGAGGUAAGUGGAAUUCCGAGUGUAGAGGUGAAAUUCGUAGAUAUUCGGAAGAACACCAGUGGCGAAGGCGACUUACUGGACACAUAUUGACGCUGAGGUGCGAAAGCGUGGGGAGCAAACAGG